ACUACAAUAAAAAUGGGCUGCGCCGACUAAAAUUAACAGCGAACCCAAUUAAGCCACCACCAUAAAUCCAAAGGGUUUUGAGGGCCACAAGACCCUCACCGCUCUGCCUUUCUUCUCACCAAUAUCCCUCUCCUCUGCCAUGGAUCUUCAUCUCCUUCCUCUCCUCCUCCACCUCCUCCUCUCCAUCCCUCAUUUGGCUCCAACAACCUCUCCAGCCCCUACUUCUUCUCCGAGUUGCAAUGGCAUCCUCCUCACCUACUCUCUCAAAGGCCACGACAUCAUCCGCCCCCACGUCUCCGACCCCAACUCCCAACCCUACUCCUACCGCGCCACCGCUACCAUCCUCAACUCUAACGAUCGUGACCUCCUUGUCUUGGCCCUUCCUCAUCUCUUUCCUCCACCGCGAGCUCCUCGUCUCUUCCAUUUCUGGCAUUCUUACUGAUGGCUCCACCUUCCCUUAUUCAAUCCCUCAAGACUUCCCCACCUCCUUCUCCAACUUUCCCAACACAGAUCUCAAAACCCUCAUUGAAACUGCCAUCGAUCUCACCCAGAUCCAGACCUCCAUUUCCAUCGUCAGCACUCUCUUUGGCUCUCUACCCUUGGCGAUCCUUCUUCCUUCCAAUCUCUCCCUCUCUGCCCUUUCUUACAGCAAUCCUACUCUUGAUUUUACCUUUAAUUCCAGCACCUCGAUCUCCUCGUGCUAUAUUAUUGCUAGUGCGGUAACAUUGCCUGACUUCAUCAAUGCAAAUAGGAAUCAAUUUUCAAGGUUAAGAGCAAGAUCCUCAGCCUCCGUGAUCUACGGGUUCUUGUCGACAUCUUCGGAAGCACAAUCAUUUCCAUAAGAUGCAGUUAUUGGAAACCAUCCUUUUGAAUGACUUCAAGGGUGCAGAAUAUGUACUUCUAGUAGAGCUACAAUUUGCUUUUGUAGCAUUUAUGGUAAAAUCAACUAAUAUAUCUCCAUCGCCAGCAGAAUUUUGGUCUGUGUAUUAUUGACUUAAAAAGUUUUAAAAGCUUGCCGAUCGGGCAAUCACUUCAAGCAUUUCUUCAACGGAAAACAUUACCUCUUCGAACAAGGAUUCAACUAUUUUCCAAGGUAAUUCUCUUUGUAAAUUCAUUUUUUUUAAUAUACUACUAUGCCAUAACUUUCUUGGUAUGAACUUCUUAGGUGUGAUGAUAUAUGGUACUGCAAUGAAUCUCAUCAAGGACAAAUACUAUAAUAAAUUCAUGUGUUGUGAUGUUCUUUUGUGUUAAAAAUUCCCUUUCCACCUUCAUUAAGGAUUAUUCUAAUCUUUUUUCCUCCAAACAACAACAUAUUUCAAUCAAGUCAGGUUUGUACAGUUUGAUAAGUGCUUGAAUAGACAUAUUUCUAUAUAUGUUUUACAUACAUUGAGUAUCAUUUUUA